AUUGAACGCUAGCGGGAUGCCUUACACAUGCAAGUCGAACGGAGUGGCGAACGGGUGAGUAAUGUAUCGGAACGUGCCCAGUAGCGGGGGAUAACUACGGGAAAGCGGCGCUAAUACCGCAUACUAUGGGAGCGGCCGAGAUCGGAUUAGCUAGUUGGUGGGGUAACGGCUCACCAAGGCGACGAUCCGUAGCUGGUCUGAGAGGACGACCAGCCACACUGGGACUGAGACACGGUCCAGACUCCUACGGGAGGCAGCAGGGGGGAAUAUUGCACAAUGGGCGCAAGCCUGAUGCAGCCAUUCCGCGUGUGUGAAGAAGGCCUUCGGGUUGUAAAGCACUGUCGGCGGGGAGGCGUUACCCGCAGAAGAAGCACCGGCUAACUCCGUGCCAGCAGCCGCGGUAAUAC
rnacentral:rRNA from 1 species